rnacentral:rRNA from 1 species
GAUGAACGCUGGCGGCGUGCCUAAUACAUGCAAGUCGAGCGAAUGGAUUAAGAGCUUGCUUUUAUGAAGUUAGCGGCGGACGGGUGAGUAACACGUGGGUAACCUGCCCAUAAGACUGGGAUAACUCCGGGAAACCGGGGCUAAUACCGGAUAACAUUUUGAACCGCAUGGUUCGAAAUUGAAAGGCGGCUUCGGCUGUCACUUAUGGAUGGACCCGCGUCGCAUUAGCUAGUUGGUGAGGUAACGGCUCACCAAGGCAACGAUGCGUAGCCGACCUGAGAGGGGGAUCGGCCACACUGGGACUGAGACACGGCCCAGACUCCUACGGGAGGCAGCAGUAGGGAAUCUUCCGCAAUGGACGAAAGUCUGACGGAGCAACGCCGCGUGAGUGAUGAAGGCUUUCGGGUCGUAAAACUCUGUUGUUAGGGAAGAACAAGUGCUAGUUGAAUAAGCUGGCACCUUGACGGUACCUAACCAGAAAGCCACGGCUAACUACGUGCCAGCCGCCGGGUAA